CCUACGGGAGGCUGCAGUCGAGAAUCAUUCACAAUGGGGGAAACCCUGAUGGUGCGACGCCGCGUGGGGGAAUGAAGGUCUUCGGAUUGUAAACCCCUGUCAUGUGGGAGCAAAUUAAAAAGAUAGUACCACAAGAGGAAGAGAUGGCUAACUCUGUGCCAGCAGCCGCGGUAAUACAGAGGUCUCAAGCGUUGUUCGGAAUCACUGGGCGUAAAGCGUGCGUAGGCUGUUUCGUAAGUCGUGUGUGAAAGGCGCGGGCUCAACCCGCGGACGGCACAUGAUACUGCGAGACUAGAGUAAGGGAGGGGGAACCGGAAUUCUCGGUGUAGCAGUGAAAUGCGUAGAUAUCGAGAGGAACACUCGUGGCGAAGGCGGGUUCCUGGACAUUAACUGACGCUGAGGCACGAAGGCCAGGGGAGCGAAAGGGAUUAGAUACCCCAGUAGUC
rnacentral:rRNA from 1 species